rnacentral:rRNA from 1 species
GACGAGGGCGCGAGCGUUGUCCGGAUUUAUUGGGCGUAAAGAGCUCGUAGGCGGCUUGUCGCGUCGACUGUGAAAUCCCGCGGCUCAACUGCGGGUCUGCAGUCGAUACGGGCAGGCUAGAGUUCGGUAGGGGAGACUGGAAUUCCUGGUGUAGCGGUGAAAUGCGCAGAUAUCAGGAGGAACACCGAUGGCGAAGGCAGGUCUCUGGGCCGAUACUGACGCUGAGGAGCGAAAGCGUGGGGAGCGAACAGG